AUCUGGGGUAGUAAGAG
rnacentral:piRNA from 1 species